ACCCCUGUGACGCAAUGGGUAGACGUGCCUCGCUUAGAACGAGGUUGAUGCAGGUACUCUUCGAGAAGGCUUCGCCUACAAAUCCUGUCAGGGAUA
rnacentral:tRNA from 1 species